rnacentral:tRNA from 1 species
CUAGACAGGCGGGCCUCGAUCCCACAAAAAAUUAGUUAACAGCUAAACGCCCCAGCCAGCGGGCUUCUGUCCG